GCUCCGGCAUCGGAAAGCUUCCUCCCUGCUGGAAGAACUCGUCCAGACCAGGGACGCAGACAGACUCGUACAGGUUGGACGGGACGUUCUCCAGCGAGGCGCACUCCUUUUCCACGUCUGCAACAGAGGGCAAGCGGAAAGGUCCACUGCUGAGACCAUGGAGGCCACAAUACUUCUAGCGCGAAACACGCGAGAGAUACGAAGAGGCUUCUCCGGCGUCGAACAAGCUGAUCAGAAUCUCGUGGCCUGCUGUCGACGGUGCGGAGAAUAACGACCCUGAAACGAAGCCACCAGGUCGAGUUGACGAAAUGGAGAGGAGAAACCGGUCUGCAGCACGAGAUACAGACGCCAGCACGCCGCCGUCCACCGCACCCUGUACUGCCCCCAUCUUGCAACCCGGAGUUGUUUCGAAUGCAGCACGACCUAGGAAUCAUAAAUAAAGCGGAGGGUGAUGGCGAC